AAGAGUUGUGGUUGUGGAUGAUUCGAUUGUUAGAGGGACAACCUCGUCCAAGAUUGUGAGGCUGUUAAAGGAGGCAGGGGCAAAAGAAGUUCAUAUGAGGAUUGCAAGCCCUCCGAUUAUAGCUUCUUGUUAUUACGGAGUGGACACUCCCAGCUCAGAGGAGUUGAUAUCUAACAGAAUGAGUGUGGAGGAGAUUAGGGAGUACAUUGGAUCGGAUUCACUAGCCUUUCUCCCAAUUGAGAGCUUGAAUAAGCUGUUAGGCAGUGAUUCUAAAAGUUAUUGCUAUGCUUGCUUUUCAGGCAACUAUCCUGUCGAGCCAACGGGCAAAGUUAAAAGGAUUGGGGACUUCAUGGACGAUGGAUUAAGUGGGGAUAUGGACUCCAUUGAUGGUGGUUGGCUACCAGGAAGUAGUAAAGUUCAGAAGAAGAUCAUCUUGAAUGAAGUUAGAACCAGUUAAAUUUUACAUGUUGCUUUAGUUUUUGCUUUGGAUUUUUCAUGCUUUAACUAUAGAAAAUUCAAAUGCUUUUCAAGUUUCUUUUUUUUCUCUCCCUCCAAGUCAUUCUUCUGUACUUGUAUUUGGGAUGUUACAUGAGAUUAUCAACUAAUCAGAAUGGUUAACUAUUGGACCAUAGUAUUU
rnacentral:misc_RNA from 1 species